CAUCGAAGGCUUGGCCGCCGGAGCCUUGGCCGCCUCGCCUUCUACCCGUAUCGUACCAUUUUACCCUCUGCACCCUCCUUAUUUACGUUCCUGCCACCCACCCCACCGCCGCCGGGGAUGGGAGGAGCGCACUUACCCGGCGGCGAGGACGUCUCCCACGACGUGGUCGGCGACGGGGACGUCGACCGCCGCGACGUGGGCAAGAUGGAGCACCGGUGCGAACAUUACCGGCGGAGGUGCAAGAUCGUGGCGCCGUGCUGCAGCCAGGUGUUUCCCUGCCGCCAUUGCCACAACGAGACCACGGCUUCAGGAGAUCGGCAUACAAUAUGUCGCCAGAAUGUUGAAAAAGUAGUAUGUCUACUCUGUGAUACUGAACAACUGGUAUCACAAGUGUGUGUAAGCUGUGGAGUCAAUAUGGGCGAGUACUUCUGUGAUAUAUGCAAGUUUUAUGAUGAUGAUACAGAGAAAGGGCAGUACCAUUGCUAUGACUGUGGCAUAUGCAGGGUUGGUGGCAAGGAAAACUUCUUCCACUGCGUAAAGUGUGGGUCUUGCUAUUCUGUUAUACUGCGCGAUAACCAUCAGUGUGUAGAGAACUCAAUGAGACAGAAUUGCCCAAUCUGUUAUGAGUAUCUAUUUGAUUCGUUACAAGGAACAAGAGUUCUUAACUGUGGACACACGAUGCACAUGGAAUGUUUUUCUGAUAUGGUGGGGCAUAACAAGUACACUUGUCCAAUAUGCUCUAAGACAGCUCUUGAUAUGACCCAUCACUGGGAAGCGUUGGAUCAAGAGAUCGAAGCAACAAUCAUGCCUCCUGUAUAUCGUUACAAGAUAGAGUAUAGGCAUGGGAUCAUUCACACAAGAGGUUGGUCAGUGACUCAAACAUGAGAAGAAUUUACUAAACCCAUGCCAUAAACCGAAAUAGCCAUACACCAAUUGUGAUUUGCCGAUUGUUUCGCUCGGACUUGAGAUAAGUUUACUAAAUCCAUGACAUAAACCAAAAUUUAGAUAAGUUUACUAAAUCCAUGACAUAAACCGUACCUCUCACUGUGUUGCUUAUCUUUCUGUGCUUUUUGAAAGAGUGGUAUAUGGAUGAAGUUAAGAAAGACGCACCAGUGGCCACAUCGAUGACUGUGGCGCCACGCCGAACGUUGAUGCUAGAGGAUCCUUAGACAGGAUGAUGUAUCGCUACUUCGACGUACAUGCAGCAACAUGCUCGAUGCUGAGGGAACUAUCAUCCUGCCGAGGCAUCGCUUUAUACAAUUCGUCACGGAAUCAAUCCAUCAAAGUCACAUGGAGCCAACAAAUGCUAUUGUCCUUCUUGCAGAAGCCACGAGUGCCCCUUGAGAAGUUGAAGAGUCAAGAACUAAGCAAAAACUGAACAGAAUCAAAGGGUUCUGGAGCAAUGGUGAUUGCUCUACAGAACACUAGCCUUUUCUCUCUCCUUCCUUUCUUUUCCAGGUGAGAACUAUCAAGGCAGAUAUAGGGGAUAAGGAUAUCUCUAUCCAAAUAUCCAUUCUUCCGUGCUUGUGUUGGAUGUUUGCGU